rnacentral:rRNA from 1 species
CAGUAGUCACGUAGUUUGAUCCUGGCUCAGAACGAACGCUGGCGGCAUGCCUAACACAUGCAAGUCGAACGAGACCUUCGGGUCUAGUGGCGCACGGGUGCGUAACACGGUGGGAAUUUGCCUCGGGGGUAUGGAAUAACUCAGGGAAACUUGAGCUAAUACCAUAUAAUGUCUUCGGACCAAAGAUUUAUCGCCCUGAGAUAAGCCCGCGUAGGAUUAGCUAGUUGGUGGGGUAAAGGCUCACCAAGCCGACGAUCUGUAGCUGGUCUGAGAGGACGACCAGCCACACUGGGACUGAGACACGGCCCAGACUCCUACGGGAGGCAGCAGUGGGGAAUUUUGGACAAUGGGCGCAAGCCUGAUCCAGCAAUGCCGCGUGCAGGAUGAAGGCCUUCGGGUUGUAAACUGCUUUUGUACGGAACGAAACGGUGAGCUCUAAUACAGUUUGCUAAUGACGGUACCGUAAGAAUAAGCACCGGCUAACUACGUG